GCAACUUGCAGUUGUUUAAUAAAAUUGGUUCCUUAGGUUAUUCGCCCUUCACUUGCUGAAGGGCAUUUUUUUGCAUUUUAU
rnacentral:ncRNA from 1 species